rnacentral:rRNA from 1 species
GACGAACGCUGGCGGCGUGCUUAACACAUGCAAGUCGAACGGAAAGACCCUGCUUUUGUGGGGUGCUCGAGUGGCGAACGGGUGAGUAACACGUGAGUAACCUGCCCUUGACUUUGGGAUAACUUCAGGAAACUGGGGCUAAUACCGGAUAGGAGCUCCUGCUGCAUGGUGGGGGUUGGAAAGUUUCGGCGGUUGGGGAUGGACUCGCGGCUUAUCAGCUUGUUGGUGGGGUAGUGGCUUACCAAGGCUUUGACGGGUAGCCGGCCUGAGAGGGUGACCGGCCACAUUGGGACUGAGAUACGGCCCAGACUCCUACGGGAGGCAGCAGUGGGGAAUAUCGCACAAUGGGCGGAAGCCUGAUGCAGCAACGCCGCGUGCGGGAUGACGGCCUUCGGGUUGUAAACCGCUUUCGCCUGUGACGAAGCGUGAGUGACGGUAAUGGGUAAAGAAGCACCGGCUAACUACGUG